GCCAGCAUGGCACAGUGGUUGGAGUGCUAGAUUUCAACUCUGGAGACCAGGGUUCCAUUCCCAGCUCGACCA